rnacentral:rRNA from 2 species
GCGACCCCAGGUCAGGUGGGAUUACCCGCUGAGUU